rnacentral:rRNA from 1 species
GCACCUACGGGAGGUAGCAGUGAGGAAUAUUGGUCAAUGGGCGAGAGCCUGAACCAGCCAAGUCGCGUGAGGGAGUACUGCCCUAUGGGUUGUAAACCUCUUUUGUCGGGGAGCAAAAGCCGGACGUGUCCGGCUGUGAGAGUACCCGAAGAAAAAGCAUCGGCUAACUCCGUGCCAGCAGCCGCGGUAAUACGGAGGAUGCGAGCGUUAAUCGGAAUUACUGGGCGUAAAGCGCUCGUAGGCGGUAUGU